UGCCGUUCUAGAUGCUUUUUCCUACAUUAACUCACUUAGUCCUCACAACUACCCCAGGAGGUAGGGACCGCCGUGGUCCUCAUUUUACAGAGAAGGAAACUGAGGCACGGUGCAGUGAGUAAACUCAUCGAGUUACACAGUCAGUCAGUGGGGGCCCAGGAUUGGACCCCAGGCAACCUGGUUCCAGAGUCCAGAGCUCUAAGGUGCCCUUUGCCGCGUCGCCGGGUCACAAAGCACCACACCCGGCUGGCGUGGCCCCGUGUACUUACGGCCGCAGCAACCCAGAGCCGUGAAAGGUAAGCUCGGAGAGGCGGCCGGGGCCUCACGGAGAGCCUUGGAUGUCAGGCGGCCUGUCUGGGUUCCGUGGCCACGGGGAGCCACGAAACACAGCAGUAGUAAAAGCAGCCGGCGUUUCCUGAGCCCUGGCUCGGUAGCAGAGACUUGGCAACGACCUCACAUCCAGUGCCUACGAAAUCCCGCGAGAUCUCACGUACUGCGUCUGAAGAAACUGACGCUCGGGGCAUUGGAAUAGUGAGUCCGAGCUCGCCCAGCUCUAUUAAAAUCUCAGAGCCUAGAUUUAAACCUGGAUCUGCCCGGCUCCCACACUCAAGCCUAAGAGCACACGCCCCUGGAAGAUACUCUCCCCAGGGGGAUGUCCCAAGCAGAGCCAAGUACCAGAAAGUUCCCUGCGGCAGCGCUGGCAAGAUGGCCUUGGGGCAGUGGCGUGGGAAGUGAGUCUGGAGGUAAGAAGGCCGGUUAGGAGACCGUAGCAAUCAUCUUGGCAACAGGGGAUGGGGCUCUGCCUUCAUUGGAUUGGGGCUCUAGGCACGAGGAGGCCAGAGUCAAGGCUGAAAUGCAUACGAUUCCCUGCACCACAUGCUUCUCGAAAAGGGGAAAGAAAGUUGCAGGAGCCAACCUCUUUAAGCCAGGGACUCUGAGUCUGGAUCUCAGCCCGGGGACGGUCCUUUUUCCUCAGGGGCUCCUUCCACAAGGGAAGGCCAGGAAGCCUCAUCGCAGGCCCCCCCUUGACCUUCUGAGAUUGCAACACGACGAAAGAGGAACAGAAACGCAGGCACCCAAAUCACCGGCACAAACUUGAUAGAAGACACGGCCUUGGGGUUGGCUCUGACAUACGGUACUUGACAUUCAGAGUCUUGGGUUCUCACCCCGGCCCCUGUUCCCUCGCCAGCUGUGUGGCCGUGGGCAAAGCCACUUCCACUCUCUUGAGAGCCACACCCGGCCCUGUCGUUCUGGGCCUGCCUCCGUCUCUCCCGCGCUCGCGCCAAGGAGAACGCGGACGUAAGAAUCGGGCAGAUCCGACAGCCGCGGACAAAGGGUCACGCCGCCGCACCCUUCCCGACACCCGCGGCCUCUGCGGCUCGACUUUGCGGCCACCCCCGUGAAGAGGUGGAUCCAGCCCCCGCCCCCAGCUUGAACCUGGGCUGGCCCCGUGACUUGCUUGGGCCAACAGGAUGUGGCAGAAGCGACCGUGCGCCCGUUCCGAGUCCAACCCCCAGCGGGGCUCUAGUGCUUUCUCUUAGAACCCGGCAGCUACCGCGGGAACUGGCUCGAGCAGGCGUGCCGGAGGGCGAGAGACCCGGGGCACCCCACCCCGGACCAGCUCGUAACCACGCGAGGACGUCCGGCGGGGGUCAGCGAGGCUGCCUCCCUGCCCACCUGGGGCUGACCGCACCCCAGAUGAGACGGGUGCCCACGACCCCGUAGCGCCUGGAGGAAUGACAAACGGCUGUUGAAAGCCGUCAGGGUUUGGGGGGGGUCUGAUCAGCAGCAAUGGCUCACCGACGGACGUGUCCAAACGAUUCUGGCGGCUCACAACUAUUACCCCAGAGCUUCGCGAAAAUCCCGUGGGUUCAGAUGUGGCACCCUCACUUGACGCGAGGAAACGGAGGCUCUCCGAAAAGGGAGGUGAUUUCCUUUGCGUACAUAACCGGUAAACCACAAAUCUGGGGUUCGGGGCCAGCCCCCCUGACUACACAUCCCGAAUUCCUCCCACCACACUUCGCUGCCCACAGGGGAUCCGUGAGCGGUCAAGGACGCUUCCUCCGGCCUUCGUCCAGUCCUCUGGUAUCAUGUCCGUGAGUAGCAUGGGGACGGCGAGGCCACGCCCACUGGCCAAGCCUUCACAGCGUGACACUUAGCGCGACUCUGUCCUCUGCGCCUGCUUCUUCCCUUUCGCGCUCUGCCCCGGGGUGGGUGGGAGGCAUUUUUGGAAACGGGGUCUCAAGAAACGGUGUGGUCCUCAGGACAGUGGGGAAAGCAUUCGCCCUGUGAACAAGUCGGAGAAGCUUCGAUGACCCUGACGAGGGGAGGGGAUGGAUGAGUAGUUUCUCCCCUCCUGAGAUCCAGGCCCCGGGAAGGGCUCUGCUCCAGGAUUGCAGGUACCUGGCCCUGGGCCUGCCCGGCCACCAGCUGGCCGCAUCUUUGACCAAGACCAUUUCCUUCUCUGAGACUUUGUUUCCCCAUCUGUCAGGAGCCCCCACCACGCUGAGGAUGCAGAACAGCGCGAUCCCGGAGUUGAAAAUCCGUAAAGAUUCCCAGAAGUUUUACGAGGCCAGGACCACUGCCGGGUCCCGAGGCUCCCAGUGUACGAAGAAAUGUGCAAAUGUCAAGGCAGGGUUAUAAAAAUGAUGGUGACCGUUCGUGUUUACACAGAACGAGGUAACCCUUAAAGUCCCUCACCCCUACCCAGCGCACCGUGUCUUAGAGGAUCGCUAAUACGAGGUUAACAUUGAAGUGUGGCGAAUGUAUCCUGAGCCUGAAGGCGGGAGGUUGGUGGCUCAGUGACCGGCAGGGGCAGGAGGGAGACUUGUCACUCACACCGUUGCGCCAGGAACCUCUGUUUGGCCGCCUUUCGAGACCAAGCCCCAGCGGGGCCCAAGGCCAACGCCUCCGCGGUCUGGGACCUCCGACAGGGAGGGAGCAGGGGCUAGUUCCUGUAGGCAGUGAAAUGCCUGGUUUGCAUCCGAACUGGCAGUGCCUAACGCGGCAUGGCAGAUACAAUAAAACAGAUCAUGGAAAAUUUAAUGGCCCGUGGUCGGCAAUCACUGAAUUAUUUAUGCCAUCCUUGCGUCUUCCGAAUUCUCAACUGCUCGGCCCCCGGCACUGAAGCCCUGGCCAGGUGCAAGCUGCCAAGAAGCAGGGCCUGAAAAGAGAAGGGGACCCAGGAGCCAAGAGGCCGGGGCUUUCCGGGCCACCUUGGGCGACGGCUGAGGGGAACGCUCUCAGCUUGUAUCUUCCCAUCCGCCCAAUUAGAAGGUCGUCUUCCAUGAACGAGUAACAACUUAAAUGUAAUAAAUGGAAGGCCAGAACUCUGGGCAGCCUCGGCCAGAGUCAAGAGGACAAAAAGCAGUGGAGAGGGCUUCCCACUUGAGACGUAGACCGAGGACGAAGAAUUUAAAUUCUCUCCCUACCAAAACCCUGUCGAAGGAAAAAAGCCACAAGCAGAAGAGUAAAUCCACAGUAGGACGUAGGCAAGGAUGCUACCCGUGAACCGGAAAUGCGGAGAAAGGUAGCGGGAAUGUGGUAUCCGACUGAUUGAGAAGCCGGAACAAGGAAACCACAGGUCAGCAUAGACCUAGGAGAGCCUUUCACUGAAACUAGAGCCUCCGAGAAGCUCUACGGAAAGCGAGGGGGGCCUUGGGGCAAUUAAAACCCCUUGAAGCACA